GACGAACGCUGGCGGCGUGCUUAAUACAUGCAAGUCGAACGGAAAGGCCCUGCUUUUGUGGGGUGCUCGAGUGGCGAACGGGUGAGUAACACGUGAGUAACCUGCCCUUGACUUUGGGAUAACUUCAGGAAACUGGGGCUAAUACCGGAUAGGAGCUCCUGCUGCAUGGUGGGGGUUGGAAAGUUUCGGCGGUUGGGGAUGGACUCGCGGCUUAUGAGCUUGUUGGUGGGGUAGUGGCUUACCAAGGCUUUGACGGGUAGCCGGCCUGAGAGGGUGACCGGCCACAUUGGGACUGAGGUACGGCCCAGACUCCUACGGGAGGCAGCAGGGGGGAAUAUUGCACAAUGGGCGGAAGCCUGAUGCAGCAACGCCGCGUGCGGGAUGACGGCCUUCGGGUGGUAAACCGCUUUCGCCUGUGACGAAGCGUGAGUGACGGUAAUGGGUAAAGAAGCACCGGCUAACUACGUG
rnacentral:rRNA from 1 species